rnacentral:rRNA from 1 species
AACGAACGCUGGCGGCAUGCCUAACACAUGCAAGUCGAACGAGACCUUCGGGUCUAGGGGCGCACGGGUGCGUAACGCGUGGGAACCUGCCCUUAGGUUCGGAAUAACUCCCCGAAAGGGGUGCUAAUACCGGAUAAUGUCUUCGGACCAACGAUUUAUCGCCUUUGGUUGGGCCCGCGUUGGAUUAGCUAGUUGGUAGGGUAAAAGCUUACCAAGGCGACGAUCCAUAGCUGGUCUGAGAGGAGGAUCAGCCACACUGGGACUGAGACACGGCCCAGACUCCUACGGGAGGCAGCAGUGGGGAAUAUUGGACAAUGGGCGAAAGCCUGAUCCAGCAAUGCCGCGUGAGUGAUGAAGGCCUUAGGGUUGUAAAGCUCUUUUACCCGGGAUGAUAAUGACAGUACCGGGAGAAUAAGCUCCGGCUAACUCCGUG